rnacentral:rRNA from 1 species
ACGAACGCUGGCGGCGUGCUUAACACAUGCAAGUCGAACGGAAAGGCCCUGCUUUUGUGGGGUGCUCGAGUGGCGAACGGGUGAGUAACACGUGAGUGACCUGCCCUUGACUUUGGGAUAACUUCAGGAAACUGGGGCUAAUACCGGAUAGGAGCUCCUGCUGCAUGGUGGGGGUUGGAAAGUUUCGGCGGUUGGGGAUGGACUCGCGGCUUAUCAGCUUGUUGGUGGGGUAGUGGUUUACCAAGGCUUUGACGGGUAGCCGGCCUGAGAGGGUGACCGGCCACAUUGGGACUGAGAUACGGCCCAGACUCCUACGGGAGGCAGCAGUGGGGAAUAUUGCACAAUGGGCGGAAGCCUGAUGCAGCAACGCCGCGUGCGGGAUGACGGCCUUCGGGUUGUAAACCGCUUUCGCCUGUGACGAAGCGUGAGUGACGGUAAUGGGUAAAGAAGCACCGGCUAACUACGUG